CCUGAUCCAGCCAUGCCGCGUGUGUGAAGAAGGCCUUUUGGUUGUAAAGCACUUUAAGCAGUGAAGAAGACCUAACGGUUAAUACCCGUUAGCGAUGACAUUAGCUGCAGAAUAAGCACCGGCUAACUCUGUGCCAGCAGCCGCGGUAAUACAGAGGGUGCAAGCGUUAAUCGGAAUUACUGGGCGUAAAGCGAGCGUAGGUGGCUUGAUAAGUCAGAUGUGAAAUCCCCGGGCUUAACCUGGGAACUGCAUCUGAUACUGUUAGGCUAGAAUAGGUGAGAGGAAGGUAGAAUUCCAGGUGUAGCGGUGAAAUGCGUAGAGAUCUGGAGGAAUACCGAUGGCGAAGGCAGCCUUCUGGCAUCAUAUUGACACUGAGGUUCGAAAGCGUGGGUAGCAAACAGGAUUAGAUACCCUGGUAGUCCACGCCGUAAACGAUGUCUACUAGUCGUUGGGUCCCUUGAGGACUUAGUGACGCAGCUAACGCAAUAAGUAGACCGCCUGGGGAGUACGGCCGCAAGGUUAAAACUCAAAUGAAUUGACGGGGGCCCGCACAAGCGGUGGAGCAUGUGGUUUAAUUCGAUGCAACGCGAAGAACCUUACCUGGUCUUGACAUAUCUAGAAUCCUGCAGAGAUGCGGGAGUGCCUUCGGGAAUUAGAAUACAGGUGCUGCAUGGCUGUCGUCAGCUCGUGUCGUGAGAUGUUGGGUUAAGUCCCGCAACGAGCGCAACCCUUGUCCUUAGUUACCAGCGGGUUAAGCCGGGAACUCUAAGGAUACUGCCAGUGACAAACUGGAGGAAGGCGGGGACGACGUCAAGUCAUCAUGGCCCUUACGACCAGGGCUACACACGUGCUACAAUGGUAGGUACAGAGGGCAGCUACACAGCGAUGUGAUGCGAAUCUUUCAAAGCCUAUCGUAGUCCAGAUUGGAGUCUGCAACUCGACUCCAUGAAGUAGGAAUCGCUAGUAAUCGCGGAUCAGAUGCCGCGGUGAAUACGUUCCCGGGCCUUGUACACACGCCCGUCACACCAUGGGAGUGAUGCACCAGAAGUGGUAGCUACUAGUGAGGGCGAUCACACGUGUGUGAUGACUGGGUGAGUCUACACAGGGUAACCGUAGGUAGAGCGUGACCGCUGCUACUGCGAGUGUCUUAUACAACAGACAACAUCAGUAUGGUGCUGAGG
rnacentral:rRNA from 1 species